rnacentral:rRNA from 1 species
GACGAACGCUGGCGGCGUGCCUAAUACAUGCAAGUUGAACGCUUCUUUCUUAUCGAACUUCGGUUCACCAAGAAAGAGGAGUAGCGAACGGGUGAGUAACACGUGGGUAACCUGCCCAUCAGCGGGGGAUAACACUUGGAAACAGGUGCUAAUACCGCAUAAUGCUUUUUCUCACAUGAGAGAAAGCUGAAAGGCGCUUUUGCGUCACUGAUGGAUGGACCCGCGGUGCAUUAGCUAGUUGGUAGGGUAACGGCCUACCAAGGCAACGAUGCAUAGCCGACCUGAGAGGGUGAUCGGCCACACUGGGACUGAGACACGGCCCAGACUCCUACGGGAGGCAGCAGUAGGGAAUCUUCGGCAAUGGACGAAAGUCUGACCGAGCAACGCCGCGUGAGUGAAGAAGGUUUUCGGAUCGUAAAACUCUGUUGUUAGAGAAGAACAAGGAUGAGAAGAGAAUGUUCAUCCCU